GGCGUGGUGCCCGAGUGGUCCAAGGCGGCCGGCUACUAACCGGCUGCGCUCUGCGCUCGCACGUUCGAAUCGUGUCCACGUCG
rfam:Catenaria anguillulae PL171 BCR44scaffold_193, whole genome shotgun sequence.